AUUGAACGCUGGCGGCAGGCCUAACACAUGCAAGUCGAGCGGAUGAGUGGAGCUUGCUCCAUGAUUCAGCGGCGGACGGGUGAGUAAUGCCUAGGAAUCUGCCUGGUAGUGGGGGACAACGUUUCGAAAGGAACGCUAAUACCGCAUACGUCCUACGGGAGAAAGCAGGGGACCUUCGGGCCUUGCGCUAUCAGAUGAGCCUAGGUCGGAUUAGCUAGUAGGUGAGGUAAUGGCUCACCUAGGCGACGAUCCGUAACUGGUCUGAGAGGAUGAUCAGUCACACUGGAACUGAGACACGGUCCAGACU
rnacentral:rRNA from 1 species